AUGUGGGUGACAACAUUCCACAGUCUAAGGUCCUGGACUGAAAAGAAGGGAGUCAAGGGUGAGGGCCAGCAUCCUUACCUGCAGAUGCGGCAUGGCCAAUCCCUCCUAGCUGCCAGGGCCACAGCUUUGUCCCUUUGUGCCCUUGAAUCAGGAGCCAAAACACAGCUUUCAUUGAGUUACUUUGAUCAAGUAUUUUAUCACAAGCAAAGUAAUUCAUGCCUAAUCCUUCACUUCACAGCAGUGAAUCCUGUAAGCUUCAUCUCUGCUAGGAAAGCCAACUCCUGCUUUUGUUUGAAACUUGGUAUGAAAGCCAUAUUGGAUGUGGAAUUGGACGAAUCACAAUAUGUUUAAGUGUAUCCUCAAGAGAUGACACUACUCAGCCCUGUAGUGGUCCCUGACAAUCCUGUGGCCAGUGACUUCUUGAAGGCACAGAGCUAGGAACAGAGGAUGUGCUUCAAGUCUGGCCACAGCUUUCUCUUGUGCUGCCGAUGCUCUGUGGGAUGACAUCUGGCUCAGGAUCAGAUCAGCCCGGUCCACUGUCCAUACUGGAAGGAACAUUGACAUCCAAGGAUGCCUCUGCAGUUGCAUUAGGAGCCAACGGUCUCAGCACCUAGUCAUAGCCAGUAUCUUCCCUUCAUGAAGGUAUUUGCAACUUUGCUGCUCAUUCCUGGCAGCCUGGAAGUCCUUGUUGCUGCUCAACCCUGUUGGCUUUCUUUCCCCCCCUAGGGGAGCUUAGUGUCAUAUGUAAACAUAGACAGGUCCCUGGGGUCUCUCUGGAUAAGCACUGGAAAGAAGCUCAAUCCGCCAGGCUAGCUGCAGUACCAGCUGGGACAGUUCCCCAUCCAAAGACCAAGGCCUGUCUGUGUGCACAGCAGGAUGGGGUCUGGGACUGUGGUUCCAGAGACCUGACUUCAGGAGUGGAAACCUGCAUGCUGACUCCUGCCUGCAGGCACUGACAGACACACAUGGUCCACUUUGUGCAUAUCACCUUGAUUGUUUUUCAUGUCCAUCAUAGAAAAGAGUGAUUAAAAAUGAAAGAAAGGAGAAACUGGGAGGGAGAGGAUGCACGACUAAGCACGAUUUGCCCCUUCCACGCCUGGUGGUGC
rnacentral:lncRNA from 1 species